GGACUAUACCAUUUGAAAUGGGGCCAGGAAAACAAAUCAAAUUACUUUUUUAAUAUUUUGGAAGCUAUUUUCCAACAGCUUGAGUAAUAACAAAUUCAAUCUUUCUCUAUUUAUAAAUUCAAAUUCUUGUACCAGGCAGGAGAACUGGCUGGCUGACUCUCCCUUGGACAACAGUUUAUCCCCAGACACCCUAGCUUGGAGCAUGGCUCUGGCAAUCUAUUAAGGAAUGUUCCUUUUUGAGGGGAGAGAAGGGGCAAAGAAGCAGUUCCAUGUCUCUAACGUUCUGUCCUUCGUAUCUAUCACAAUUUUAAAUAUGCUCAACCUUUGACCCAGCAAUUCUACUUCUAGGAAGACAGCCUGAAGAAAUUCGAGUACAAGUAUUCCAGAUGUUGCUUUUAUCGUACAGAAGCUGUUUUUUUCCAGAAUGCUCCAACACAUUCCUACUCUUUCGCCCUCUAGAUAAAUGUCUUUCAGUGGACUUUAGAGUUAACAAUAGUGAGCAUUUCUCAAGCUACAGCCAAAGAAACUCCCUUAGAUUCUUCAUGGCAAGAAAGGAAAGAGGAAGGGAGAAAAGCUCUGAAAGGCUGACCAGGUACCCCAAAGAGACUGCGUUUAUCUACAAGACUGUUUGAACUGAAAGAAAUGGUCUCUAAGCCAACCAGAAAAAAGAAAAUAGCUCAAAAAGGAGGUAAAAAUCAAAGAAAGAAAAAUAUUAAUAAAAUAAGACUCCAGGAUAAUGAGUAAUUGGUGAGACCAGAAGGUGACAAAUUGAUCCGGUAACUGAUUUGCCUGGAUAGCUUUCAACUAAAUGCUCUCAAAAGGAAGAUAUUCUGAAUGAAACAGAAGACCCCGAAACCUUUCCUUUCCACCACCAACCCCCAGAAGCAGAAAGUCAUGAAGGCUCAGUCAGUUGCCCAUAAACUGUGUUCCUGGGUCUUGGCUACAUUGCCAUCAUUUCAGAUGAGCCCCAUCAAUACCAGAUGGACCCCCCGGAUACACGCUCAUUAGUCAUAUGCUUUAAGAUGAGCCCAGUUCUCACACCCACCCGAUGGUGGCAACGGAAAUGAUUACUCUGGGCACCCUGACUGCGUGACUGUGAAAGCAACUGUUUGGUGUUAACUGAUUUGCAUAAUGGUGGAGAACUCCCAGUUUGGGGGAAGUCUUUUCCUAUUUCUGCAGUUCCACAUGCCGUGCUAGUUUCUAAGGGAGCAGGAGCCAGAUACUGAAGCCAUGUCACCCCCUUGUUUGAGGGAGCAGUGCCUCUCAUCACCCUAUACCGCCUCAGUCUAGUCACAUGAGCCCUUAAAAGCAGAGGGAGCAGUUGCCCUGGAAGUUUCCAUGCUAUGGGCAAUGUAUUCAGACCCCAGGACAAGAUCUGAGUGCACGCUCAACCCUAAAAGGGGGAUGAGAAUAAUUUGAUUGAAAAAUGUCCCCAUAGCCUCAUCUUGAAAGAACGAAGUCUUUUUUCCUUCCUUUUACCCAGCAGGCGAGUAGUGUUUUUUAUCUUCCAGGCAUAACUCUUGGAAAGAAUGGAGCUACUUGUUUCAAAAGCCUGUGCUAAUGGGAAUAAACAGUUAAAAUAAAGUUUUUCCCAACUUCAGGGUAAGAAUGACUUUGUGUAGAUAUGGAGGACUGAAAGGAAAGUGGGUUCUACCAGUGGCAGAGAUCAGUACCCCACCCAAUGCUCCAGGAGAUACUAGGACUUUUUCAUAAAGCUGGGAUGUGGAUUCCCCACGACUGAACCUGGAAAAACAAGCCUAGCGGCCCAUGGCCAAAUUUCAUAGGACAGAACUAGGGCUGAAACAAAGAGACUUUCGAGCAGAAUAACUGUCUGACUUCAAAUGAAACACCAUUUGGACAAUAAGCAGUUCAUGAGCAACAAUUACAAUAUGAGCCGAGAAUGCCCCCCCAACUUCCUGAACACUGUAGAAAACCUUCCAUUUUUAUAUAAUCCCAGAGAAUAGAAGGGGACCACCAAGCAUACCAAAAAUUUCAUUUCUUAUCAGAUAGGCAAACAAAGACUCAGAGUCAAGUAUGAUUUAACAGAGAAAAGUAAAAUAAAUAUUACAUUUCUUGCACACAAAUAUGGUGGAACAAAUUCAUGCCUCUUUAGAAAAUGAUCAGGAUAAAUCCUAUCAUGAUUCAAAUCCC
rnacentral:lncRNA from 1 species